UACAGAGGGUGCGAGCGUUGUCCGGAAUUACUGGGCGUAAAGGGCUCGUAGGCGGCCAACUAAGUCCGACGUGAAAUCCCCAGGCUUAACCUGGGAACUGCAUCCGAUACUGGAUGGCUUGAAUCCGGGAGAGGGAUGCAGAAUUCCAGGUGUAGCGGUGAAAUGCGUAGAUAUCCGGAGGAACACCGGUGGCGAAGGCGGCUUCCUGGACCGACACUGACGCUGAGGCGCGAAAGCUAGGGGAGCAAACGGG
rnacentral:rRNA from 1 species